UCCCCGUUACCGGGGCAGUCUACCUAGAAAAAUCCAACUAAGUAUAAGGGUUGCGCUCGUUGAUGGACUUAACCAAACAUCUCACGACACGAGCUGACGACGGCCAUGCAUCACCUGUCACUUGGCUCAAUAAAGCACUCACUGCUUUCGCAGUAAUUCCAAGGAUGUCAAACCCUGGUAAGGUUCUUCGCUUACCAUCGAAUUAAAGAACAUCAUCCGCUGCUUGUGCGGGUCCCCGUCAAUUCCUUUAUGUUUUAAGCUUGCGCUCGUACUCCACAGGCGGGGUGCUUAACGCGUUAGCUUCGCUACAGAAGGGGUCGAUACCUCCUACAGCUAGCACCCAUCGUUUACGGCGUGGACUAC
rnacentral:misc_RNA from 1 species